AGUUUGAUCCUGGCUCAGGAUGAACGCUAGCGGCAGGCCUAAUACAUGCAAGUCGAACGGGAUUGGAGAGCUUGCUUUCCAUGAGAGUGGCGUACGGGUGCGUAACGCGUAUGCAACCUACCUUCAUCAGGGGGAUAGCCCGAAGAAAUUCGGAUUAACACCGCAUAACAUUAUUGGAUGGCAUCAUUUAAUAAUCAAAUAUUUAUAGGAUGAAGAUGGGCAUGCGUGUCAUUAGCUAGUUGGUGAGGUAACGGCUCACCAAGGCGACGAUGACUAGGGGAUCUGAGAGGAUGACUCCCCACACUGGUACUGAGACACGGACCAGACUCCUACGGGAGGCAGCAGUAAGGAAUAUUGGUCAAUGGAGGCAACUCUGAACCAGCCAUGCCGCGUGCAGGAAGACUGCCUUAUGGGUUGUAAACUGCUUUUAUACGGGAAUAAACCUUGAUUCGUGAAUCGAGCUGAAUGUACCGUAAGAAUAAGGAUCGGCUAACUCCGUGCCAGCAGCCGCGGUAAUACGGAGGAUCCAAGCGUUAUCCGGAUUUAUUGGGUUUAAAGGGAGCGUAGGCGGCCUAUUAAGUCAGGGGUGAAAGACGGUGGCUCAACCAUCGCAGUGCCUUUGAUACUGGUAGGCUUGAAUGUAGUUGAGGUAGGCGGAAUGUGACAAGUAGCGGUGAAAUGCAUAGAUAUGUCACAGAACACCGAUUGCGAAGGCAGCUUACUAAGCUAUGAUUGACGCUGAGGCUCGAAAGCGUGGGGAUCAAACAGGAUUAGAUACCCUGGUAGUCCACGCCCUAAACGAUGAUAACUCGAUGUUGGCGAUAUACAGUCAGCGUCCAAGCGAAAGCGUUAAGUUAUCCACCUGGGGAGUACGCCCGCAAGGGUGAAACUCAAAGGAAUUGACGGGGGCCCGCACAAGCGGAGGAGCAUGUGGUUUAAUUCGAUGAUACGCGAGGAACCUUACCCGGGCUUGAAAGUUACUGAAGAAUUUAGAGAUAGAUUCGUCCUUCGGGACAGGAAACUAGGUGCUGCAUGGCUGUCGUCAGCUCGUG
rnacentral:rRNA from 1 species